ensembl:lncRNA
ACUACAGCUGACCAAAAUCCUGCUUGUCAUGAUAAUUGAUUGGAAUCUUUCCAUGAGCCUGGAAGUGGAUCAUGUCCUUCAAGGAAGGCCUGAAAUGAUCACAGCUCGGACUGAUGUCUGGACCACUCCCUGUGAGACAGCCUGAGCCUCAGGGACCCAGUGAGGGAAAACCCACCUACCUAAACUGUGAUUUGAGCGGCAAGGAAUCGGAGAGGUGGGGCAGGCGGAAGCUGAGUAUAGUCCUGCAACCCGGGAGAGGAAGUGAAGCCAUUUUCCUUUUCAAAGAAGUCAGUUCCACAGUGCACUACCUCCAAUCUUCCAUCUUCUCUGCCCUCCUCAGAUUUGCUUAAUACUUAUAUCUUCUUGUAUAUAGUGGACAUUUUGUUUCUCUUCUUGUUCUAUUUGAUUGUGUUGUUUUUUAUUUUUGGCUGCCAAGCUUUUCUUAUUUGGGGUCACCCUCCACUGUUUAGACAAACUCAUCUGUUCUAAGA